CUACGGGAGGCUGCAGUGGGGAAUUUUGGACAAUGGACGCAAGUCUGAUCCAGCCAUUCCGCGUGCAGGAUGAAGGCCCUCGGGUUGUAAACUGCUUUUGUACGGAACGAAAAGGUUUCUAUUAAUACUAGGAGCUCAUGACGGUACCGUAAGAAUAAGCACCGGCUAACUACGUGCCAGCAGCCGCGGUAAUACGUAGGGUGCAAGCGUUAAUCGGAAUUACUGGGCGUAAAGCGUGCGCAGGCGGUUAUAUAAGACAGAUGUGAAAUCCCUGGGCUCAACCUGGGAACUGCAUUUGUGACUGUAUAGCUAGAGUACGGUAGAGGGGGAUGGAAUUCCGCGUGUAGCAGUGAAAUGCGUAGAUAUGCGGAGGAACACCGAUGGCGAAGGCAAUCCCCUGGACCUGUACUGACGCUCAUGCACGAAAGCGUGGGGAGCAAACAGGAUUAGAUACCCUCGUAGUC
rnacentral:rRNA from 1 species